UAAUAAAAUGGAAUUUUUAUAAUAUAAAUUUUAUUAAUUAAAUAAAUUUAAUUUUGGUUUAAGAUUUAUUUGAUUUUUAUUUUAUAUGUAAAUUUUUGUCUUAAUAAAAUAGUUAUUUAAAAUAAUUUAAAUUUUACAGUAAAUAGAUUUAUAUAUUAAUGAAAAUUAGAUUUAGUAAUUGAUUAUAAAAUAGAAAAAAUUUGUGCCAGCAUUUGCGGUUAUACAGAUUAUUUAAGUAAAUUAUAUUAGUAUUGAAUAAAAUGUAAUUUAAUAAAUUUAAAUUUAAUAAUUAAAGUGAAAUUUUGUAUUAAAAUAUAUUUAUUAUUAUAUUAUUUGAUUUUUGAAAUUUAAAUUUUAAACUAGGAUUAGAUACCCUAUUAUUUUAAAAGUAAAAUUGAUAUUAAGGGAUUAUAAGUUAUGAUCUUUAAAUUUAAAAAAUUUGGCGGUAUUUUAGUCUAUUUAGAGGAAUUUGUUCUAUAAUUGAUAGUCCACGAUAAAUUUUACUUAAUUUAUUAAUUAAUAUAUCGUCGUUAUCAAAAUAUUUUUUUAGAAAAAAUAUUUUUUAAAAAUAAAGUUUUAUUUUAUUUCAGAUCAAGAUGUUGUUUAUAAUUAUGAAGAAAUGAAUUACAAUAAAUUAAUUUAUAUGGAUAUUUUAUUGAAAUAUAAGAUUGAAGGUGGAUUUAAUAGUAAUUUUUAAAAAAUUUUAAAAAUGAUUUAGGCACUAAAAUAUGCACAUAUCGCCCGUCGCUCUUAUUUAUUAAAUAAGAUAAGUCGUAACAAAGUAGAUGUACUGGAAAGUGUAUCUAGAAAGCA
rnacentral:ncRNA from 1 species